CAAGGCGAACGACCCCCACGCUGUAACGGGAUGAUCACAAGAAUUGUCGUAAUCCCAUCCAUGUGAUGGCGUGUUGGACGCGGGUUCGAAUCCCGCCAGCUCCACCAGGAGCGCACUAAGCAACAGUUGGCACGGCGCAUAGUCCAUGACGCGAAAGCGGUAGCCGAAAUUAGUGCUCUCCCCCUGGGGCUGUAUCGGUCUCGACAGCGCGCAGCAGCGGAAGAUGGCGGCACGGUAGGCGACGACCGUAAAUCGAGCAAAAGCAGAAAUGCAAACGACGCAGAAUUCAAGGUCGCGGCUUACGCCUAAGACUUUGUGAGGAAAGGCCCGCGCCUUAUCACCGAAUGGCGGGCCACCAAUUCGCAGUUA
rnacentral:tmRNA from 1 species